UAUACAAUGAAGAGUUUGAUCCUGGCUCAGGAUGAACGCUAGCGGCAGGCCUAACACAUGCAAGUCGAGGGGUAACAUUGGUGCUUGCACCAGAUGACGACCGGCGCACGGGUGCGUAACGCGUAUAGAACCUACCUUU
rnacentral:rRNA from 1 species